rnacentral:rRNA from 1 species
GGGUUAGUAGCCGCGGUAAUACGGAGGGGGAAAGAGGUGUCCGGAUUUAUUGGGCGUAAAGCGAGCGCAGGCGGUUUUUUAAGUCUGAUGUGAAAGCCUUCGGCUUAACCGGAGAAGUGCAUCGGAAACUGGGAGACUUGAGUGCAGAAGAGGACAGUGGAACUCCAUGUGUAGCGGUGGAAUGCGUAGAUAUAUGGAAGAACACCAGUGGCGAAGGCGGCUGUCUAGUCUGUAACUGACGCUGAGGCUCGAAAGCAUGGGUAGCGAACAGGAUUAGAUACCCUGGUAGUCCAUGCCGUAAACGAUGAGUGCUAAGUGUUGGAGGGUUUCCGCCCUUCAGUGCUGCAGCUAACGCAUUAAGCACUCCGCCUGGGGAGUACGACCGCAAGGUUGAAACUCAAAGAAAUUGACGG